rnacentral:tRNA from 1 species
GUUGAAGUGGCUGAGCUUCAAGCGAUAAAUUGUAAAUUUAUUUACGGGGUUACCCCUUCAACA